UAGAAGAGAUGGCGACCGGCGCACGGGUGGGUAACACGUAUCCAACCUGCCGAUAACUCCGGAAUAGCCUUUCGAAAGAAAGAUUAAUACCGGAUGGCAUACGAAUAUCGCAUGAUAUUUUUAUUAAAGAAUUUCGGUUAUCGAUGGGGAUGCGUUCCAUUAGUUUGUUGGCGGGGUAACGGCCCACCAAGACUACGAUGGAUAGGGGUUCUGAGAGGAAGGUCCCCCACAUUGGAACUGAGACACGGUCCAA
rnacentral:rRNA from 1 species